CACUAGGAAGCUAAUUAUCGGAUAAAGCGUUGGCCUUUUAAGCCAAAGUUUGGUGCCUACCGACCACCCCUAGUGA
rnacentral:tRNA from 1 species